GUAGGUGGCAAGCGUUGUCCGGAAUUAUUGGGCGUAAAGCGCGCGCAGGCGGUCCUUUAAGUCUGAUGUGAAAGCCCACGGCUCAACCGUGGAGGGUCAUUGGAAACUGGGGGACUUGAGUACAGAAGAGGAAAGCGGAAUUCCAAGUGUAGCGGUGAAAUGCGUAGAGAUUUGGAGGAACACCAGUGGCGAAGGCGGCUUUCUGGUCUGUAACUGACGCUGAGGCGCGAAAGCGUGGGGAGCAAACAGGAUUAGAUACCCUGGUAGUCCACGCCGUAAACGAUGAGUGCUAAGUGUUAGGGGGUUUCCCGCCCCCUUAGUGCUGCAGCUAACGCAUUAAGCACUCCGCCUGGGGGAGUACGGCCGCAAAGGCUGA
rnacentral:rRNA from 1 species